rnacentral:lncRNA from 1 species
CCCUUUGAUGUUGCUGCACCUCUUAUGCGUCCAUAGCUUACACUGGGUACAUCUUAUGGAGUUUCUACCUACACCUUUCCUACAGAUCGAGCAGGGCCACCUGCCCGAGGGUGUGUGUGAUGAGGUCGCCUUUCUGCUUACUAUAACUUUGGUCUUCGCUACAUUUACUCUAAGGCCCUUUGAUUCUAAACCGAGCUUCCACACCCAAAAUUUCUUUUCUAGUUCCGGUAGUGAUUCUGCUAUGAGGGCCAGGUCAUCAGCAUAGAGGAGCUCCCAGGGGCAACUUGUUUUGAAUUCCUCUGUUAUUGCCUGGAGGACUAUGAUGAAUAAAAGGGGACUGAGGGCUGAACCUUGGUGGACACCUAAUUCUACCCGGAAUUCUUCACUAUAUUCGUUGCCAAUCCUAACCUUGCUGACAGCCUCUCUGUAUAGGGCCUAUAGUGCCCUUAUUAGCCAUUCAUCAAUCUCCAGUUUCCGCAUCGACCACCAGAUAAGGGAUAUAUAUAUAUGUGUGUGUGUGUGUUUAUAUAUAUAUAUAUAUAUACUAGCUGAAGGUGACCCGCUCUACGCGCGGGUAAGAGUGUGGGUGUUACUUUCUGUUGCUUCCUUUCAGCACGUAAAAAGCACCAUCCGAACGUGGCCGAUUGCAGCACCGCCUUGACUUGCUUCUGUGCUGGUGGCACGUAAAAAGCACCAACCGAUCGUUGCCACUGCGAGCCCCCCUGGCACCAGUGCCGUCGGCACGAAAAAAGCACUCACUACACUCACAGUGUGGUUGGCGUUAGGAAGGUCAUCCAUCUGUAGAAACACUGCCAGAUCAGACUGGAGCCUGGUGCAGCCUCCUGGCUUCCGAGACCCGGUCACACUGCCCAACCCGUAUUUGUUUCUCUCCGUAUUUGUUUCUCUCUCCUUUCUCUCUCACUUUCCCACUCUCUUACUUUUCUUUUCUCUCUGACUCUCCCUCACUUUCUCUUACUCUCUAUCUUUAUCUAUCUCUCUCCCAUUUAUAAACAACAGAAGAUCUUGAGUAAGUUGAGAAAUAAAAUAUUUAGAAAGAUCAAUCAGAAAUAUGAGGCAGUGGCAAUGGAAAGGUCUGCUUCAAGGCAGACAGCAAAACGCUAACAUUCAAAAGGGACAGACGAACUUGCGAGCUGAAUAAAAAUAAUGAAAUAUUGGAAACCAAAGUUUGAAGGGAUAGAAUUUGAGGAUUGUAGAGUCACCAUGGCUGGCAUUUGUUAACGACGGACAGCAACGUAGUGACAGUUUAACGGCUGGCGUAAAAUUUUGAACUUGAUGUAAAAGAAAAUUCGUAAACACCAAUUUUUGAAGUGAUUCUUUCUCACGACAGUAGACUCACCAUGGCAAGCAUUCAAAACUUCUUUAUCAUGGACGGCAACACAUUGACGAUUAAAAGGCUGGCGCAAAUUUUUUAGCUUGAUGUAACAGAGAAUUGCUAAACACCCGCUCUUUGAAAUUUUAAUCCCCUUCCAGCCCCAUUUAGACCCCUUUUCACAUUUUGGUUAAUAUAACCCGAUUUCAUUCGGGUGUACUGGGGCCACAUUUUAUAAGAUGAGGAAUUUUUUCCUAGAGGUGACGCCUUUCAUUUGAGGAACAAAAUAGUUGUGAUGCAAACUUGUCAGCACCUUUAACAUAGGUGUGCAUAUUUUCAGGUGAAUCGACCGACUACGUAAUGCACACAUAUAUAUGUGUAUAUAUAUAUAUGUGUGUGUGUGCACGCAUUAUAUAUACAAAUGUAUACAAAUGAGAUAUAUAUCUGUAUAAAUUAAAUUAGAGAUAAAACCACUAAUAGGCAAAUCAAACAGUGAAAAACCAAAAACAAAAACAUAAAAAAAGAAAAUAUAACAUAGAAAAUAUAUAUAUAUAUAUAAAACUGUAGUUGUGUGAGUGUCUGUCCCCUUCGAUUUAGAUUCCUAACUACUCCCAAAUUUUGCGGUGCAGUUUAACCAAAUUCGGGUAUCUUAUAGUCGUGAUUCAUAUCGAGCCCGUCUGGGUAUUAGCGCGCGUCUACGAUGAGUGUACGAUUUUAAACAUAAUUUAACAUCAUUUUUUAUUCCAUUUUAAUGCAUAUUUUUUCGUGUGUCGAUGGCGGCGGAGUUGGCGUCCACGCUCACGCCUGCACCUGUGUUGCUUCUCCCCCUUCUUCCCUCCCUCGUGAAGCUGUGGGGAAGGGAGUGUAAGGAAAUCAACGUCGUAAUGCGUUGUGAAGGAGACCAGCGUUCUUUUAGAACAACGACUUCAUGGCUUGAAGUCGCCAAAACAGAAAUCGCUAAAAAAGCUGAAACAGAUCCACAAAAACGGCAAAAACGCCACACAGGGCAGGUUUCCUGUGCAAACAAUUUGCACAACCGAAUGUUUUAGUUGUUGCACAAAUCUUUAUAUAUAAAAGUAAGGUUGUGUGUCUGUCUCCUACGAUUUAGAUUCCUAACUACUCCCACAUUUUGCGGUGCAGUGUAACCAAAACCGGGUAUCUUAUAGUCGUGAUUCAUAUCGAGCCCUUCUGGGUAUUAGCGCGCGUCUACGAUAAGUCUACGAUUUAAAAAAAAUUUACCAUCAUUUUUUAUUCCAUUUUAAUGCAUUUUUCGCUAUUAUAUAAGGGAAGUAACUCUGUAAAAAUGUCUACGAUGAGUCAACGAUUUAAAAAAGAAAUUACUAUCAUUUUUUAUUCCAUCUUUAAUGCAUUUUUUGCUAUAACUCACUAAAAAUGCUUAUAUAGUUAUUUCCCUUACAAACCCGAGCAACGCCGGGCGAUACUGCUAGUAAAAUAUAAAAUUGAAAACUUUAAAUUAUUUAAAUUGAAAAUAAAAAUUAUGAAAUUAUAUUUAUAAUUUGUUUAAAAAUAUAUAUAACUAUGAAAAAGUAUGAAAAAGUUUAAUAUACAUAAAUACAGAUAUAUACACUUUGUAUAUAUACAUUAUAUAUACAUAUUUAUAUAUAGAACACACACACACACAUACAUUAUAUAUACAUAUUUAUAUAUAGAACACACACACACACAUACAUUAUAUAUACAUAUUUAUAUAUAGAACACACACACACACAUACAUUAUAUAUACAUAUUUAUAUAUAGAACACACACAUACAUUAUAUAUACAUAUAUAUAUAGAACACACACACACACACACACACACAUAUAAAUGAACGCAAGAAUAUCUGAUUCAUAAUAUUUGUUCUCAUGCUCGUGUGUUGAUUGUUGGUGACAGACAUAUACUUCAAAGAACGCCGCCGAAGUGAUAGGAAGGUAGGAAACAGAGUCAGUGAAAAAGAAAGGAAAUAGCGAUAGUGACAGAUACUUUAAAUAACCGUAGUGGACUUCUGAAAGUUAUAAAUGAAGAGGAGUGACAGAGUACUGGAGGAAAUAGGGUGAGGUAGGAAGAUGGCCCCUAGAAACCACAGCUUUUAAGAUAGGGAUUUCUAAGGUAGCCCACGCGCAUCGUCACCUCAUUCUACAUGUCCCUGUAAAUUUUGGAGCGAAUCGGACGGGUCGUAGUGGCAUUGAAAGCGAUCCAAGCGGUAAAAACGCAUUUCAGUUUUAUAUAUAGAGAUAUAUAUUACCGACCAACCCAUGCCAGCAUGGAAAACAGACAUUAAAUGAUGAUGAUGAUGAUAUAUAUAUAUAUAUAUAUAUAUGUGUGUGUAUGUAUAUAUAUAUAUAUAUAUAUAUAUAUGUAGUGUGUAUGUAUGGCCCGCACACACGCAUAGACACAUGUAUGCAUGUAUAUACGCACACGAGGAUGCGUGCACCCACACCGUGUGUACGCACACGCACAAGCACAUACUAAAAGCCAACACACGCAGGGCACAUAUACACGCAUGCCACACGGAUACACCCAACAGACAUGGACACACAUGCAAGCAGACACAUACACACUAACGCACGCGCAACACACUAAUAGACAUUAACCACACACAUACACGCACACAUACACACACACGAAUGGGCACACAUAUACACACACUAUCCUACCCCCAAAAAUUCUUUAAACAACACACAUCUAUUUACACCACCCUGGAACCAAUCAAAAACAACCCACACACACACACAAACACAUGUAUACAUGUAUAUGCACACACACAAGGACACACACACUCACACCAAUCUCACCUCCAUACAGACACACAUAUACACACGCAGCACCAUGCCAAAUGCCAUCCACACACAUACAUGCAUACACACACACACACACAACACCAAGACAACCACACACGCGGUUGACAAACAGACACACCAUCCUACCAGAUCUUACAGACACACAGACACAUCUAUUCACACCACAUAUGUAUGUAUGCACACACACAUACACACAAAGACACACACACUCACCUCAUCCUGACCCCAAAAUCAUUGAUGCUUGAAGGAGAGACGAAAAAAACAAAAAAAGAAAAAAAGGGUACAUUCUUUUCAGUUCCACAUUUCUCCUAAAACGGACAGGUCAGUUUUAGCUUCACCACUAUUAUAAUGUAAAUCUUUUUGAACUCAUAAUAUUCUGUAUGUGUAUACUGAACUUUUUUAAUAAUUCCUCCUGGAAAUUACCUUGAGAUGUAUAAUAUAUUUGUUUUAAUCUUUUCUGCCCAUUAUUUCAAUGAGCUUGUUAAACUUUUUUAUAUUCUCAACAUACUGUUGUCACCAAAGAAUGUAUAUUUAUAUGGAUUAUAGUACCCUGUGUCAACCAAUAUUCUGUGCAUGUUUGAAUAUACAGAUACAAUACCAAUAUCAAUUCCUUCUGGAAACUAUCUUAAGUAUGUCCUUGAAAACGAUUAUUUAUGUAAUCUUUUGUGCCCAAUAUUUUAAGGAACUUGUUGAACUUUUUUAUGUCCUUAACAUGUCCCUGUUACCAAAGACUGUAUAUAUGUAAUGUAGCAAUUUGCAACAACCAAUAAUUAACUCAACCAAACUUCUACAUGUUACUUUUGACAAUCUUUUUCCAAAGAGUGAAACCGGUAAAGUAAAUAAACAUCUUUUAAAUUGCAUUUUCAAACCUUCUUUCGUAUAUAUAUAUAUAUAUAUAUACACUUACAUAAAGACCAAAAGGGUACGGGCGCCGCUAUAUAUGUAUAUAUAUAUGUAAAAAAAUACAAACUGGGACAAGAACGCAAAACAUUUAGGAGACGAUACAAAAAACACGGACGGGACAUUCGAAGCCUUCAAUCUUCAGUCAAGAACUGGAUCAUCCUUGCAAUUUCGGCUGAUUAAUCUUGAGAUUGCUCCGAUCUGGCCAGCCCCAAAGGAAAAUCUAAGCCAAGCGCAUUAGAUUCCUUGGAAGAAAGCCUCGAAUGUCUCUGCCCUAAGACAUUUUUCUAAUAUGCCAGCUCAAAGUUUACUCGUCCUCUCGAAAGACGCCUGUCUGAGACGUCCUGUUUUUGUUGUUAUUAUUAUUAUCAGUAUUGUUUUUACGUAUUAUUUUUGUAUUCAUAUUCGUGUAACAUCGUCCGUUUUUCCGUCCUUGUUUUGUAUACAUUCGAGGCUUUCUUCCAAGGAAUCUAAUGCGCUUGGCUUAGAUUUUCCUUUGGGGCUGGCCAGAUCGGAGCAAUCUCAAGAUUAAUCAGCUGAAAUUGCGAGGAUGAUCCGGUUCUCGACUGAAGAUUGAAGGCUUCGAAUGUCCCAUCGUGUAUUUUGUAUCGUCUCCUAAAUGUUUUGUGUUCUUGUCCCAGUUUGUAUUUUUUUACAUAUAUAUAUAUGUAUGUGUGUGUGUGUGUAUAUAUACACAUAGAUAUAUAUGUAUGCAUGUAUAUGUAUAUACACACACACAUACACAUAUAUAUUUAUGUAUGCAUAUAUAACACCAAGGUGUGUUGCCUUCCAUUAAUAAAUAAGUUAAAAACUGUACAAUAAAUGGACAAAUGAAAAACAGACACAGAAUGGCAAGUUAAAAAAACAUGUAUUAAAUGCACAGAUGAACGGAAAAUAGACAGAGAAACGUCCCCAAUUCCUCAUCAGUUAUUGACCAGUGGGCCUGGUGCAAUUUCGUGCCAGAACCAGCAAGCCAAACGCUGACAUUUGAAGUUUUAGGAGGACUUGGGUGUUAACUCCCCAACUAAGCUUACAUUUUGCUUUGACCUUGGUUCUGCUAUAGAAUCUACUUCACUUGGUGAACGUGCAAAGAGAGACAAGCGUCUCCGCUUAGAGCUCAAUGAAUUUCACAGGUCUACAAGUAACAAAUGAGGGUUGAUGAAAUGAGUAGCAAUUAAACACUAUGAUUGAUGUAAUCGACUAGUCCCCCCCCCAUCCCUCAAAAUUUCAGGCCUUGUACUGACAGCGGAUAGGAUUACAUUUGUCGUUGCUGGUGUUGAUGAUGAUGAGGAUGGUGUUUUUGUUGUUAUUCGGAUUAUUUCAUUAUCUCCGGUGCCUUGAUGUUUGGAAUCACUAAAUAUUGAACUUCCAUUAGAGUUAACCUUUCUGUGAAAUGCCAAACGAGAACCCUUUUGGUUUCAUGUCCAAACAAGAUGGCUUUACAAUGUGUGUGUGUGUGUGUAUCUAUCUAUACAGGCAUGCACGUGUGCACAUACAUGUGUGUAUAUGUAUAUGUGUAGGCGUGUAGUAAUAAGCGUAUUUUUAUGUAUGUAUGUAUAUUUCACUUUUUAUUCAUUUUAGUCAUUGGACUGUGGCCAUGCUGGGGCACCACACUGCAUGGUAUAGUUGGAUGGACUGACCCCAGUACUAUUUUGUUUUCAACCUGGGACCUAUUAUAUCAGUCUCUUAUAUCUAACCACGAAGUUAUGAGGAUGAAAAUAAAACCAACAUCAGUUGUACAGCAGUGGCGGGAAACACACACACACACACACACACACACACACACACACACAUGUAUACAUUUAUGUAUGUAAGUAUGUUUCUAUUCAGUUUUAUUUUAAGAUUUCUUGCCAAUAGAGAGAGUUUCAGUUUUUAACCAAGAUGCAAGGCUCCUCCAUUGGAAUUUCAACAUUAACAUGGUCGCCAGCCAUGACCAGAAGCAACACUUCCCUUUCUCCUUCACUCACCAUACAAAGAGAAGCUUUCGGCCAAAAUCAAGAAAGGGCAAUGCCACCUUUACCCCUUCUUCCUCUCUUGUCAGCACCGCGCAAUCUCUACCCUUUCUUUCUCUUCCUGCAGACCAUAACUUCUUCACUUUCAACUACCAAUCGCAGGUGAACCUUUUGUCGCUCUCCCAACAAUUACUACUCACUUACUAAUUACUUGCUGGGAAAAUAAAAAGCUGUAAACAAUA